ACUGGGCACCAACUGACGCUGAGGCUCGAAAGUGUGGGUAGCAAACAGGAUUAGAUACCCUGGUAGUCCACACCGUAAACGAUGAUUACUAGGUGUUGGAGGAUUGACCCCUUCAGUGCCGCAGUUAACACAAUAAGUAAUCCACCUGGGGAGUACGACCGCAAGGUUGAAACUCAAAGGAAUUGACGGGGGCCCGCACAAGCAGUGGAGUAUGUGGUUUAAUUCGACGCAACGCGAAGAACCUUACCAAGUCUUGACAUCCUGCGACGGUGCUGGAAACAGUACUUUCCUUCGGGACGCAGAGACAGGUGGUGCAUGGUUGUCGUCAGCUCGUGUCGUGAGAUGUUGGGUUAAGUCCCGCAACGAGCGCAACCCUUAUGGUCAGUUACUACGCAAGAGGACUCUGGCCAGACUGCCGUUGACAAAACGGAGGAAGGUGGGGAUGACGUCAAAUCAUCAUGCCCUUUAUGACUUGGGCUACACACGUACUACAAUGGCGUUAAACAAAGAGAAGCAAGACCGCGAGGUGGAGCAAAACUCAGAAACAACGUCCCAGUUCGGACUGCAGGCUGCAACUCGCCUGCACGAAGUCGGAAUUGCUAGUAAUCGCAGAUCAGCAUGCUGCGGUGAAUACGUUCCCGGGCCUUGUACACACCGCCCGUCACACCAUGAGAGCCGGGGGGACCCGAAGUCGGUAGUCUAACCGCAAGGAGGACGCCGCCG
rnacentral:rRNA from 1 species